rnacentral:misc_RNA from 1 species
AAAACUUUGAACUUUGCAAAGUAAGUCUAUAAAGUAAAAAUGGUUUAUCGCGAUCUGGGAUAAGUGUGUUACUCGACAGAUUCCCCUGUGUGUGUUUGAUAGACACACACACCUUGCUGUGUACUUAAUCAUAAUAUUGUCAACACAGUAGAAUAGCCAGGUAAGAAAUUUAAAGUGAUAUUGUUUGAAAUAGGUGGUUUCAUUUUCAUCUAAUUUCAAUGCUAUCAAGUUUAUUACAAGAGGGUCUGUUUGCAUCGCUCUUUUGGUGCUUGAUCAAUGCUUCUAUUUUUAUUUUUUCUUGACAGCAGUGCAAAUUGGCCUUGGUCAAAUCUUGAAGAUUUUGCAGACAGUUCAAGAUCAAAAUUUUCAAAAGUUUAAAAUUGCAUUAUCACGAUGUUAUUUCAUUCAUUUUUUUAGACGUUCAUUAGAAAAUUCAAACAACUGUAAAUAAUAUCAUAAUUUUUCUCAGAGUCUUUCACCCCGUCAGCUUUAUUUCGUUUCCUUUUCACGUGGCUUAUUUAUUGAACAUAUAUGAAAUAAACCUAUAGGCAUUUAAAUUGUUCAAUUAACAAUUUAAACUGUAUCGUCUGU